rnacentral:rRNA from 1 species
GGCGAGUUUAGCGKUAAUUGCCCAGCACCGAAUCCUCUGCGUGGGACGCAGUGGGAACUGUGGUGUUUAGGACAGCCUCUGGAGCUYUGCCGCGCGCCCGAGUCCUCCUGAUCGGGGCCUUUCCCAUAGCGGGUGUCAGGCCUCUACUGGCGUGCGGCGACGUCUUUUCUGACCGUCCUCGGAGCCGGGUUGUUUGGGAAUGCAGCCCAAAGCGGGGGGUAAACUCCUUCUAGGGCUAAUUCCUGACACAAGUCCAAUCCCGGACAAGUCCCGUGGGGGAAAGUUGAAAAGACCUUUGAA